UACCAGCACCCCGAGUGGUCGGGACGUUAUUGGGCCUAAAGCAUCCGUAGCCGGUUCUACAAGUCUUCCGUUAAAUCCACCUGCUUAACAGAUGGGCUGCGGAGGAUACUAUGGAGCUAGGAGGCGGGAGAGGCAAGCGGUACUUAGUGGGUAGGGGUAAAAUCCGUUGAUCCAUUGAAGACCACCAGUGGCGAAGGCGGCUUGCCAGAACGCACUCGACGGUGAGGGA
rnacentral:rRNA from 1 species